rnacentral:tRNA from 1 species
GGAGGUGAGUCGUAGCUGGUGCUGCGCCCAGGCUUCAAACCUGGUGGGGGUCGGUAGCCGGUCCCGGUGGGUUCGAUUCCCACGCGCCUCC